rnacentral:rRNA from 1 species
GGUUAAGCGACUAAGCGUACACGGUGGAUGCCCUGGCAGUCAGAGGCGAUGAAGGGCGUGCUAAUCUGCGAUAAGCGCCGGUAAGGUGAUAUGAACCGUUAUAACCGGCGAUACCCGAAUGGGGAAACCCAGUGUGACUCGUCACACUAUCAUUAACUGAAUCCAUAGGUUAAUGAGGCGAACCGGGGGAACUGAAACAUCUAAGUACCCCGAGGAAAAGAAAUCAACCGAGAUUCCCCCAGUAGCGGCGAGCGAACGGGGAGGAGCCCAGAGCCUGAAUCAGCAUGUGUGUUAGUGGAAGCGUCUGGAAAGGCGCGCGAUACAGGGUGACAGCCCCGUACACAAAAGCGCAUGUGCUGUGAGCUCGAUGAGUAGGGCGGGACACGUGGUAUCCUGUCUGAAUAUGGGGGGACCAUCCUCCAAGGCUAAAUACUCCUGACUGACCGAUAGUGAACCAGUACCGUGAGGGAAAGGCGAAAAGAACCCCGGCGAGGGGAGUGAAAAAGAACCUGAAACCGUGUACGUACAAGCAGUGGGAGCACAGGUUUACCUGUGUGACUGCGUACCUUUUGUAUAAUGGGUCAGCGACUUAUAUUCUGUAGCAAGGUUAACCGAAUAGGGGAGCCGGAGGGAAACCGAGUCUUAAUUGGGCGUUAAGUUGCAGGGUAUAGACCCGAAACCCGGUGAUCUAGCCAUGGGCAGGUUGAAGGUUGGGUAACACUAACUGGAGGACCGAACCGACUAAUGUUGAAAAAUUAGCGGAUGACCUGUGGCUGGGGGUGAAAGGCCAAUCAAACCGGGAGAUAGCUGGUUCUCCCCGAAAGCUAUUUAGGUAGCGCCUCGUGAAUUCAUCUCCGGGGGUAGAGCACUGUUUCGGCUAGGGGGCCAUCCCGGCUUACCAACCCGAUGCAAACUGCGAAUACCGGAGAAUGUUAUCACGGGAGACACACGGCGGGUGCUAACGUCCGUCGUGAAGAGGGAAACAACCCAGACCGCCAGCUAAGGUCCCAAAGUCAUGGUUAAGUGGGAAACGAUGUGGGAAGGCCCAGACAGCCAGGAUGUUGGCUUAGAAGCAGCCAUCAUUUAAAGAAAGCGUAAUAGCUCACUGGUCGAGUCGGCCUGCGCGGAAGAUGUAACGGGGCUAAACCAUGCACCGAAGCUGCGGCAGCGACACUGUGUGUUGUUGGGUAGGGGAGCGUUCUGUAAGCCUGCGAAGGUGUCCCGUGAGGGAUGCUGGAGGUAUCAGAAGUGCGAAUGCUGACAUAAGUAACGAUAAAGCGGGUGAAAAGCCCGCUCGCCGGAAGACCAAGGGUUCCUGUCCAACGUUAAUCGGGGCAGGGUGAGUCGACCCCUAAGGCGAGGCCGAAAGGCGUAGUCGAUGGGAAACGGGUUAAUAUUCCCGUACUUGGUGUUACUGCGAAGGGGGGACGGAGAAGGCUAUGUUGGCCGGGCGACGGUUGUCCCGGUUUAAGCGUGUAGGUGUGUGUUCCAGGUAAAUCCGGUUCACUUUAACACUGAGGCGUGACGACGAGGCACUACGGUGCUGAAGCAACAAAUGCCCUGCUUCCAGGAAAAGCCUCUAAGCAUCAGGUAACAUCAAAUCGUACCCCAAACCGACACAGGUGGUCAGGUAGAGAAUACCAAGGCGCUUGAGAGAACUCGGGUGAAGGAACUAGGCAAAAUGGUGCCGUAACUUCGGGAGAAGGCACGCUGACACGUAGGUGAAGUGAUUUACUCAUGGAGCUGAAGUCAGUCGAAGAUACCAGCUGGCUGCAACUGUUUAUUAAAAACACAGCACUGUGCAAACACGAAAGUGGACGUAUACGGUGUGACGCCUGCCCGGUGCCGGAAGGUUAAUUGAUGGGGUCAGCGCAAGCGAAGCUCCUGAUCGAAGCCCCGGUAAACGGCGGCCGUAACUAUAACGGUCCUAAGGUAGCGAAAUUCCUUGUCGGGUAAGUUCCGACCUGCACGAAUGGCGUAAUGAUGGCCAGGCUGUCUCCACCCGAGACUCAGUGAAAUUGAACUCGCUGUGAAGAUGCAGUGUACCCGCGGCAAGACGGAAAGACCCCGUGAACCUUUACUAUAGCUUGACACUGAACAUUGAGCCUUGAUGUGUAGGAUAGGUGGGAGGCUUUGAAGUGUGGACGCCAGUCUGCAUGGAGCCGACCUUGAAAUACCACCCUUUAAUGUUUGAUGUUCUAACGUGGACCCGUUACCCGGGUUGCGGACAGUGUCUGGUGGGUAGUUUGACUGGGGCGGUCUCCUCCUAAAGAGUAACGGAGGAGCACGAAGGUUGGCUAAUCCUGGUCGGACAUCAGGAGGUUAGUGCAAUGGCAUAAGCCAGCUUGACUGCGAGCGUGACGGCGCGAGCAGGUGCGAAAGCAGGUCAUAGUGAUCCGGUGGUUCUGAAUGGAAGGGCCAUCGCUCAACGGAUAAAAGGUACUCCGGGGAUAACAGGCUGAUACCGCCCAAGAGUUCAUAUCGACGGCGGUGUUUGGCACCUCGAUGUCGGCUCAUCACAUCCUGGGGCUGAAGUAGGUCCCAAGGGUAUGGCUGUUCGCCAUUUAAAGUGGUACGCGAGCUGGGUUUAGAACGUCGUGAGACAGUUCGGUCCCUAUCUGCCGUGGGCGCUGGAGAACUGAGGGGGGCUGCUCCUAGUACGAGAGGACCGGAGUGGACGCAUCACUGGUGUUCGGGUUGUCAUGCCAAUGGCACUGCCCGGUAGCUAAAUGCGGAAGAGAUAAGUGCUGAAAGCAUCUAAGCACGAAACUUGCCCCGAGAUGAGUUCUCCCUGAGACUUAGAGUCUCCUGAAGGAACGUUGAAGACGACGACGUUGAUAGGCCGGGUGUGUAAGCGCAGCGAUGCGUUGAGCUAACCGGUACUAAUGAACCGUGAGGCUUAACCUU